rnacentral:lncRNA from 1 species
AAAUUCACCAUACUUGUCCAUGCCAUCCCACAACCAUGCCUUGUACCUCAAAAGAGCAGCAGCAUUAUGCAUCAUUUUUUCUGUCAUGGUGAACCUAAUUAGCAGUCUAACCAACAGCAAAACAAAGGGCCAUACUAACUUGCUUAAAAUUUGGAAAAUGAAAGUACUUUGCAACUAUCCUCCAUACUUCCACCCCUUACCUUGUACUGUCCAGCAAAUGCAAGAUUUUUCUGUCCUUUUGAACACAAAAUACUGCAGCCAACAGAGCAGUGGAGAAACCAACUCACUCAUGCUGAAUCUCUCUUACUUGCAUUCCUAAUUUUCUGUCAAAAAGACCAUACUUCCAUGCCAUGAUGAGAAGAAAACUGUCAAAGCUAAAAACAAAAAAGACCACAUCCCACAGCAGAGUUAUAUUCAUUAUUUUUCUGUCAUGAGCAAGAAACUAACUUCAUCCAUUCUCUAAAGAAAGCAUCAUCCUACUUACAUUGCAAAAAGACACUAAAACUUCCAAAACUCAUAAUGAGCAAAACCUAAGCCUUGCCUUACCCUGCUAGCCACCAU